ACAAAUGUUUUGUCAUCCAUCUAUUUAUAUUUUCUGAAAUUAUAUCCAGUUGAUAAAUUUUAAGCCUGUUUUGGAAUGAGAGAUAGUUUUUCAAGGAAGAUUUAAUUUUAGAAAUGAUUGCAUGACUCUGUAAUAUUAGACAGUAUUAGUUAUCAUAUAAAAAAUAAAUAUAAAUAAAAAGGAAAUAUAAUCAUAAAAUAUGAAUUGCCAUAAAAUUUAAUUGCUAAUAUUUAUUUAUUUAUCAAUUAAUUUAUUUUUGUCUGUAGAAUGAAAAAAGAAAAAUGUUGAUGGAGCAUGAAACAUUAAAGCUGAAACAGCUUGACGAGAAACACUCAGAAGAGUUACAGAAGUGGAAGCAAGGUUUAAAAGUCAGAAAACAGACUUUAGAAGAAGAAUUUGUGAAGCAACGUGAAGAACAUGAAUUGCUAUUAAAGAAGCAUGCAAGUGUAGAACUUAAUCCUUCUAAAUUUAUCGAGACCUGAAAAAUUAAUGAUGUCUUUUAUUCAAAUUUUAAUUUGCUUUUUGUUUGUAAAAAAAUGUAUUCUUAUCCCCACUAGUGAUUCUGUGCCAAUGGUCAAAGAUCUGAUGAAAAUAAAAUACAUUUCCAAUUUU